CAUAUCUGCCAAUGUUUCGCUUCAUUCCAUUCCACCAGAAUUAUGCCUUUAAAUCCUUAUACAUCUUAGUUCUACCAGGCUGAACCGUAUAAGGUGAAUAAUGAGCCUCUCUCAAAAUCUUCUCUCGGAUCUCUAAAUUCAUAGGCACACACAGUCGGUCCCUAUACCUCAGUACUCCCGAACUGUCCACUACAAAACCCUCUACAUGUCCCGUCUCUAGCUGCUCUCGAAUCCUCAACAAGUGCGGGUCUCCACUCUGUUUCUCUCGGAUACUAUCCAACAGAGUGGACUGCAAAACCAUAGACAUCAGUCU
rnacentral:lncRNA from 1 species